CCCUGUCACAAUGGGUCUGCACAGGGUUCCGGGCACAGAAUGGGGAACCACCACUCUCAGGGGAGAUGGGGCCACUCUUGCACUGUGUCACCAACACACGUGACAGAUGAGGCCUGGGGCUGUUCAGGCACAGGACUGACGGAGGUGCUGGCCCAUUCGCCGCCUGGCCCACAACAACCCCACAGGCCAGGCUCCACCACACCGUCCUCAGAAGGGUCCAGGAGUUUUGUCACCCGGCUGGAGGGUUGGAAUUAAUUAAGUCAAAUGAAGAAAUAAGAGUAACACCGAAGGGCUAAGCCCUGGUGUUAUGGAAAGAGACCUGUUUCCAGCCCCUGGAAACACCACAGAGGGUGAACGCCAGCUGCACACCUGCCUGACAUGUUAAACCACACCGCUCUCUGGGGCCCUGGCCAGCGCCCAGCCGGACCACCGUGCACUGGGAAUGGUUCCUCCCCAUGGAGCCACUGCACCCCACAUUUGCGCUCUCUACAGAACGCCAUGGACAAAUGCCCAGGGGUACAUUCAAGGAAAACUGGGAUGAAAGGCGCUGCUCAGAUGUAUUAAGUAAACAGCAUUCUUGAGUCUUUAUUCAACUGGGAAAAUGUUUAAGUUAAGGCCAUUUUUUAAGGCCCAAAUUGAAACAACGUAAUAUCCUGUUUUUCAGUACUAUUUAAAUAAAUCCAAUAAUCUCUACUGAAAUACAAACAAACAAAACCAAACUGCAUCUUAAAUUCACAGCAGUCAAAAUAGACAAGAAAUGAGAAGAGAGAAACGAUAAAUAAAAUGCAAAGAAUCAGGAAGCAGGCUGCCCACCUUUCC